rnacentral:rRNA from 1 species
AUUGAACGCUGGCGGCAUGCCUUACACAUGCAAGUCGAACGGCAGCACGGGAGCAAUCCUGGUGGCGAGUGGCGAACGGGUGAGUAAAGCAUCGGAACGUGCCCAGUCGUGGGGGAUAACGUAGCGAAAGCUACGCUAAUACCGCAUACGAUCUGUGGAUGAAAGCGGGGGACCGUAAGGCCUCGCGCGAUUGGAGCGGCCGAUGUCAGAUUAGGUAGUUGGUGAGGUAAAGGCUCACCAAGCCGACGAUCUGUAGCUGGUCUGAGAGGACGACCAGCCACACUGGGACUGAGACACGGCCCAGACUCCUACGGGAGGCAGCAGUGGGGAAUUUUGGACAAUGGGCGCAAGCCUGAUCCAGCAAUGCCGCGUGCAGGAUGAAGGCCUUCGGGUUGUAAACUGCUUUUGUACGGAGCGAAACGGCUUCCACUAAUACUGGGGGCUAAUGACGGUACCGUAAGAAUAAGCACCGGCUAACUACGUGCCAGCCGCCGCCGUAAUAC